rnacentral:lncRNA from 1 species
UUCGAUAUGUCUUACUGGUCUUGAAGAAUGUGCAUGAACAUCAGCGGAUACAUCCUGAAUUCUUGAAAACGUGUUUGCAAAUAGACAUGCAUAUUCUGCAAUAUGAAAAUGUAGCCACACUGCGCUACAGAUAUACAUGCAUAUUUUGUGCCCAAGUCAAAACCACGCUGCGACAGCUUCAAUGGGGACAACGCGUACUUAGUUGAGUCACCGGUGUUGCCGAACAGUUUUUCAUAUGUGUCAUAAAUCUCGCUGCAGUCCAUGUGCUUGUACUUCGUAUAUUUCAGAUUCACCUAUUUCCAUACAAGAAGGAAAGAAAAGGGAUUUUACAUAACAAUUUCAAGAAUACGAAUAAACGAACGCAGCAACAUGACGAAGUGCACUCAAAUUGAGACGUCAUUUAUCAUUAAUCACAUGCAUAUAAUGGAGAACAAUUUUUAAAAACUAAAUAGAAUGAAGACUUCACUUACUUCAAGAGGUAAUUACAUUAAUACCGAAAAGUUGUUAGGGCAAGCUUCAACAGUGUUUGAAAUUUGUAGAUAGGUGAAUUUUUUUAGCUAAAUUCAUUUAUAGGAUCCAAAGUAGAAACAAAUGUAAAACUUAUUACGAUAUGUGCAUAUUCUAUUUACUUACAAUUGGGUAUCAUUGCUCUCAUGAUGCAAAUGAUAUAACAAACUGACCAAUAAUAAUAACAAUACCAAUAAUAAAAUACUAUUGAUAAGGGAAUGUUCACAAAAGGGUAAAUGGGUACAAAAUCAUCAACUUAUUUGUGAAAGAAAAUCCUAAUUUGAUAUGAAAAGCUAGUACUUAGCAUGUGUUGUGUAUACAACAUGAGUCUAAAUAUUUGAAACAAGAACAGUUGUGUGGGCAAGUUUAAAUUCUACACAGCAUAAGAUACCUUAAUUUUGGAUUUCCACGAAUGCUCGAGGGCGAAGAUUGUAUUGGUGACCGAGAGGUACUCAAUUCCCGUGCAUCAUAGCUGCUUGAACAGGUGUUUGUGCUGCUCCCGUAGUUUUCUUCAGUAGUUUUUCAUUUGUGAUGUGGUCAAUUUCUUUC